AACGAACGCUGGCGGCAUGCCUAACACAUGCAAGUCGAACGAGAUCUUCGGGUCUAGUGGCGCACGGGUGCGUAACGCGUGGGAAUCUGCCCUUAGGUUCGGAAUAACAGUUGGAAACGACUGCUAAUACCGGAUGAUGACGAAAGUCCAAAGAUUUAUCGCCAGAGGAUGAGCCCGCGUAGGAUUAGCUAGUUGGUGUGGUAAAGGCGCACCAAGGCGACGAUCCUUAGCUGGUCUGAGAGGAUGAUCAGCCACACUGGGACUGAGACACGGCCCAGACUCCUACGGGAGGCAGCAGUGGGGAAUAUUGGACAAUGGGCGAAAGCCUGAUCCAGCAAUGCCGCGUGAGUGAUGAGGGCCUUAGGGUUGUAAAGCUCUUUUACCCGGGAUGAUAAUGACAGUACCGGGAGAAUAAGCUCCGGCUAACUCCGUGCCAGCAGCCGCCGUAA
rnacentral:rRNA from 1 species